rnacentral:rRNA from 1 species
AGAGUUUGAUCCUGGCUCAAGAUGAACGCUAGCGACAGGCUUAACACAUGCAAGUCGAGGGGCAGCGGGGGCGUAGCAAUAUGCCUGCCGGCGACCGGCGCACGGGUGAGUAACACGUAUGUAACCUGCCCUAUGCAGGGGGAUAACCCGGAGAAAUCCGGCCUAAUACCGCGUAACACCUUAGGGGAGCAUUCUCUUGAGGUUAAAGGAGAGAUCCGGCAUAGGAUGGACAUGCGUCGCAUUAGGUAGACGGCGGGGGUAACGGCCCACCGUGCCGACGAUGCGUAGGGGUUCUGAGAGGAAGGCCCCCCACACUGGUACUGAGACACGGACCAGACUCCUACGGGAGGCAGCAGUGAGGAAUAUUGGUCAAUGGCCGAGAGGCUGAACCAGCCAAGUCGCGUGAGGGAAGAAUGUCCUAAGGAUUGUAAACCUCUUUUGUCGGGGAGCAAAAAGGCUCUGCGGAGUCGUAUUGAGAGUACCCGAAGAAAAAGCAUCGGCUAACUCCGUGCCAGCAGCCGCGGUAAUACGGAGGAUGCGAGCGUUAUCCGGAUUUAUUGGGUUUAAAGGGUGCGCAGGCGGCGUGUCAAGCAAGCGGUAAAAUAGCGGGGCUCAACCCCGUCGAGCCGUUUGAACUGGCGCGCUUGAGUUCAGGCGAGGUAGGCGGAAUUCGUGGUGUAGCGGUGAAAUGCAUAGAUAUCACGAAGAACUCCGAUUGCGAAGGCAGCUUACCAGUCUGCGACUGACGCUCAGGCACGAAAGUGUGGGUAUCGAACAGGAUUAGAUACCCUGGUAGUCCACACAGUAAACGAUGAGCGCUAGGGUGUCCGGGUCGCAUGAGACUUGGGUGCCCGAAGCGAAAGCGUUAAGCGCUCCACCUGGGGAGUACGCCGGCAACGGUGAAACUCAAAGGAAUUGACGGGGGCCCGCACAAGCGGAGGAACAUGUGGUUUAAUUCGAUGAUACGCGAAGGAACCUUACCCGGGCUCAAACGACUCAGGAAUAUAUUGGAAACGAUGUAGCCAGCAAUGGUCUGAGUCGAGGUGCUGCAUGGUUGUCGUCAGCUCGUGCCGUGAGGUGUCGGCUUAAGUGCCAUAACGAGCGCAACCCCUACCGCCAGUUGCCAACGGGUAAAGCCGGGAACUCUGGCGGGACUGCCGGCGCAAGCUGUGAGGAAGGCGGGGAUGACGUCAAAUCAGCACGGCCCUUACGUCCGGGGCGACACACGUGUUACAAUGGCAGGUACAGCGGGAAGCCACCUGGUGACAGGGAGCGGAACCCGAAAGCCUGUCUCAGUUCGGAUUGGAGUCUGCAACUCGACUCCAUGAAGCUGGAUUCGCUAGUAAUCGCGCAUCAGCCAUGGCGCGGUGAAUACGUUCCCGGGCCUUGCACACAACGCCCGUCA